rnacentral:rRNA from 1 species
UACGUAGGGUGCAAGCGUUGUCCGGAAUUAUUGGGCGUAAAGAGCUCGUAGGCGGUCUGUCACGUCGGAUGUGAAAAUCCAGGGCUUAACCCUGGACCUGCAUUCGAUACGGGCAGACUAGAGUUCGGUAGGGGAGACUGGAAUUCCUGGUGUAGCGGUGAAAUGCGCAGAUAUCAGGAGGAACACCGGUGGCGAAGGCGGGUCUCUGGGCCGAGACUGACGCUGAGGAGCGAAAGCGUGGGGAGCGAACAGG